rnacentral:tRNA from 1 species
GGCUCAAGUAGUCAUUCAGUCGGGCGGGGAGCAUCGCUUUCGUAAAGCGGGGGUCCCGAGUUCGAUCCUCGGGGGUG